rnacentral:rRNA from 1 species
AUCCUGGCUCAGGACGAACGCUGGCGGCGUGCCUAACACAUGCAAGUCGAACGAGGCCAUUCCUUCGGGAGUGAGUCGAGUGGCGGACGGGUGAGUAACACGUGAGCAACCUAUCCUUGUGCGGGGGACAACCCGGGGAAACCCGGGCUAAUACCGCAUGGGCCGGAGCUUCGAGUGGAGCGCCGGGGAAAGAUGGCCUCUUUACAAUGCUAUCGCGCAGGGAGGGGCUCGCGGACUAUCAGCUAGUUGGUGAGGUAAUGGCUCACCAAGGCGGCGACGGCUACGGGGUCUGAGAGGACGACCCCGCACAUUGGAACUGAGACACGGUCCAGACUCCUACGGGAGGCAGCAGUGGGGAAUAUUGGGCAAUGGGCGCAAGCCUGACCCAGCGACGCCGCGUGCGGGAUGACGCUUCUCGGAGUGUAAACCGCUGUCAGAGGGGACGAACGGCCGGAGUGGGAAUACUGCUUCGGAUUGACGGUACCCUCAAAGGAAGCGCCGGCUAACUCCGUGCCAGCCGCCGCGGUAAUUC